rnacentral:lncRNA from 12 species
GUUUUGUGUUUUUUUUCCUCUAUAUGCAGGAUGCUGAGUGAAGUAACUGGGCUCUGUCAGCAAAAAUACGGUUCUAAUAAGCAUGUGCAUUGUUAUGGGGGAAACUAUUUCAAUAGAAAAUGCACAUCUCUUAGAUUAUAUCUAGCACUUGGAAAAUUGCAAAAUGUUUUACCACUUCUAUUUCCCAGUUCCUCCUCCCUUCUCACGACUCUAUCAAUGGCCACAUGGAAAAAGGUAGAAGGUGAUGACAAGAAAAAAUGGACAUUGUGCAUUUUCUUUAGGUCAAAAUAGAACAAAUGAACAAGUGAAUGUUGCAUAUAUCAGAUCUUCAUCCAGAAAACAUUUAAAAAAAUAUUUUAUUUAUUUUAGAGAGAGAGAGUGGGGAAGAGAGAGCACAUGAGCAGGGGCAGAGGGAGAGGGAGAAGCAGAUUCCACUACUGAGUGGGGAGCCUGAUGCAAUACUUGAUCUCAGGGCCCUGGGAUCAUGACCAGGAUCACAACUGGAGCCAAAGGCAGAUGCUAAACCGACUGAGCCACUCAGGCACCCCAGAAACCAUUUGGAAUGCUUUAAGAGCAUAUAACAUAAUAGAAACAAGUUCGGCUUCAGGAGAAAACUAAAAGAAAUGCCUUGUGGAAGUUGGUGACAUUUUCCUCAAGAAAUCCCCAUGAGACUGAAGAAAGAAAUCAAUGAGGAACCUACAACCUGGCAAUAUGCUGUGUUGAGAGAACUGAGAGAGUGGACCUGGCAAGUCAAUUGAAUGGAAGCCACAGAAGAACCUUCCACUAUUCUGGGAAAACUUUGGUCUCUCCUUCUUCAGACCUCGUGGUGGAUUCAGCUGCAAACUUUGAGAAGGAUGAGUACCCACACAAAUCCCCUUUACCAGGAUGGAGCCUCUCCUCCCAGCUGCUGUGAGUAUUGGUUGUUACCGGCUCACAGCUGCCCACUUCUCCUGAGAGAAUUGCCUAGGCUUCGAGGAGCUGCACCAUCAAGAGAUGUGUGUAGGUCAUCCCCUCUCUUGAGGCAGCCUUCACACAGACUGAUCUUGGUGUCAUUCACAUCUUUAAACUCCCUGUGGGGUCAAACUGAGAUUAGACUUCACCUGAAACUAUAUAUUUUGCUUACCUUCUUUCUCUGUACUACCCCACUUUUCUCACUCCCUGACAGGUUUCUCCUGAGAACACUCCAUCACUUGUCAAGAAUCUCCAUCUAGUAUUCUGCUUCUAGGGAGACUGGCCUAAAACAUUAUCUUUCUGGGAUUUUCACUUUUCCACUUCUCUUCAUAUCACAUGUAUCCAUUCUACUGGCUUUUGCACCUACCUGAUCACACUCUUGCUAACUAUGUUGGUGCACUGGGGUAGAAAGAACAGACUGGUGGUGCCUAACCUACAUACUACAUAUUGCAUAAUGCUACUCAAAACUGGUUAAGCUGGUAGGUCUGAAGAGUGAGAGAUACCCUGCAUUUCCUAAAAUAGCAUAGCAGCAGCUGUACUAAUUUUAGCGAAGGACACAAAAUGCCUGGGGAUAUAAAGAUGUGGUUUUCUUUCCUCCUUAAAAGAUCAAAUUGUAUAGAAAAGCUUGCAGGAAGCACAAGAUAAGUUUAGAAAGUCAUGAUUUUCACCAGAAGUGCAGUAAAGGCAAGACCUGGUGGAUUGAUGUCAGGUACCCCUCUCCAAUGUUGAUAUAUACCUGGCUAAUGGAGUUCAGAGACUACAGAGUGGGAGAGUGUGAGGUCUGUUCUAUCCAUGGUUACCAUAUGUUGAGUUAGGAGUGAAUGUCAGAAUCUGUGCCCUGAGGAAAUGUACAAGAGACACCUAGAAUAACAUGUUAAUAAUUGGUAUUUUAUCAAGGGGCCACCACUGAGUAGUAAGGACAGAGUCAGCCAUGGGAAGAGCAGAGAAACAGAGUAGGGGUGGAAAAUGCUUAGUGAGUCCUAGAGGGAGUGCUGAUUGUGGUGCAUCCCAUGCCAACUAUUUCUCUGCUCUAAACCUCAGGAUGCCCCUUUGGAAUUCAGGGAUUUCCUCCAUUUUACAAAGUAGGAAACCUGAGACUCAGUUAUGUCACUGACACCACACAGCUAAUUUUUUAAAAAAUAUUUUAUUUAUUUAUUCUGAGAGAGAGUGAGAGAGAGAGAGAGAGAGAGAGAGAGAACAUAAGUGAGACAGAAGGACAGAGGGAGAGGGAGAAGCAGACUCCUUUUUGAGCAGGGAGCA